GCUGCUGCCCAGAGGGAGGGGGGCAGGUUAGUGGCAACCACGCUCGAAUUCUGGGAAGAAUAAGGAGAGGGACAGGAAGUGCCCACAAGGGCAAUGCUUCCCUUGCGGAGCCUGCUAAGCUGUCAGGAAAGGAGACUCAGUGGUAAAGGCCCACGAGUAUCCACCACACACAAGUCCUCUGCUCCUACAGACCAGGCCAGAGUGGGCUGCGACGCCCUGGGCAGGGCCAGGCCAGAGGGAGCCGGGUGGGAAGCCAAGUGCAGAGUCCCAGGCAGAGCCUUGCUUUGAAGGCUCAUGAGGGAUCUGCUGUGGCACCUCACACAGAAGCUGACGUGGAACAGGUGCCUGGGAGUGGCGGACGGGCAGUAAUCCCCAGGCCAGUGCCCGGGGUCCUGCAGAGGAGCCAGGAUGCCAGCUCCCACCUCCACUGACCACAGGAGUAAAAACGCCUGCAGCAGGGUGUGCGUGCCCAUUGCCCACAGCGCCUGCCUGGCAGGGCUGGUUGCUGGACGAGGGUGGAGGAUGCCCACAGGAAGUGAUACUGCACAGUCACCCUAAAAAUAAGACUCCACUUUCAACAGAGGAAGGAUUUUCCCCACCCUGGUGCCUGCCCCGUGACCACAGUGUCCAGGCAGGAGGCUGUUUGAGAGCCAAGGUGGGCGGCUGUCCAGGACGCUGCCUGGGAUCUGUGGCCUGGUCAGCACUGUGAGGGCCACAGCCUGGCGCUAGAGGAGGUGAGCCUGGGUCAAGCUCUCCUGCAGACCCGAGCCCGCAGCCCCUGGCAGCGUCACCUGGAGAAGAGCCGCUGGCCGACCACCUCUCUAGAGGCCACAGCAAUCUUCUGAGGCUCUGAGCAGAGCUGCCUGCGUGGAGGACCCAGUGUGUCCACCGUGGGGUGCUGGCGGCACCGAGAGGCCACCUGGGCUGUUUUCCACACUGUGCCGAGAGCUGUGCUCCCACCCGCUGACCCCUCUUCUUGCCCCCUCCUUCCUGAUCCUCGGGUCCCACUGACCUCUUGCCGCUCCUCCACUCCCCAGGCAGUGCUUUGCCAGGGGCCCUGGGCGCAGCUGCGGUUCAGGGAGAAACGUGCUGCCCCCAGCCUCCCCAGGUCCUUGUUGGGCCAUUUCCCUGUGAGGCCUCCCCUAAGAACUCUCACCAAAAUGGGAGUCCCGGCAGCA